GAGGCCGAAAGGCGUAGUCGAUGGGAAAUCGGUUAAUAUUCCGAUACUUGUUUAUGAUGCGAUGGAGGGACGGAGAAGGUUAUGCCAGCUUGGCGAUGGUUGUCCAAGUGGAAGGAUGUAGUUAGGUUUAGUAGGCAAAUCCGCUAGACUAUUAAUGAGAUCUGAUAGCAAGCUGUACUUGUACAGCGAAGUGGCAAAUACCCUGCUUCCAGGAAAAGCUUCUAAGCGAUAGUCAUAAAGAAAUCGUACCCUAAACCGACACAGGUGGUCAGGUAGAGAAUACCAAGGCGCUUGAGAGAACUCUGC
rnacentral:rRNA from 1 species